CCGAGUUUACAACUCCCAAACCCCUGUGAACAUACCUAUCGUUGCUUCGGCGGAUCCGCCCCGGCGCCCUCGGGCCCGGAUCAGGCGCCCCGCCGGAGACCCCAAACUCUUGUAUUUCUUUUAGUAUCUUCCUGAGGUAAACAAGCAAAUAAAUUA
rnacentral:misc_RNA from 1 species